rnacentral:lncRNA from 1 species
GGCGGCGGGGGUGCAGCGAACGCAGGUUCACCCCUCUCCUUUUUCCUUCGCCCUCUCCCUCUGGACUCUGCGCUGAAGCCACAGUGAGGCUCCCCCCUCUUUCUGGUCCCCAGUCGGACUCAGCGAGCCAGGGCUCCGGGCUUUGCGCCGGUGCUGAGGUCAGAGAGGGGAGCCGCGGCCCGCAGGCCUGGACAGCACCCGGGUAAGCAGGGCGCAGCCGCAAUGGCUCGCUCCUAGCUGGGAACCCACGACCCGCGAAGCUGGAGAGCGCACUCGCCGGCCGCUGAGCCCCAGACCCGCCGCAGUCUCCAAACGCUGUCUGUGAGGAGAAGUGAAUCCUCUGAAAGGGUAAUUGUCAGCUGAUGGUGUUUCCCAUUAUGCCCGAUCUUGGCCUAAAUGGUGUGCGGCAGCGGGGCUGAGAGCGAGGGCUGAAAUCAACGCGCGAACUCGCGCUCUGAAGGCAAGAAAAGACAGCACCGCUCGCGUCCUGAUCUAGAGAAGCUGAGGAAGAAACGGUAAUUCCCGCAUAGCCGAGGAGCCCGGCCUAGGAAGCUUCCAUCCCAUUCUCAGAGGGAGGUUCAGCCACCGCACCUGUAGCCCAAGGCACUGGACCCCAGGCACGCCAUUUCUGGAGCUCUCUCGGGCCUCUCUAGCUGAAGGAAAGCGGGUAGUCUAGGUUCAGUCGGAGGCAUCCCCUCCAGGAUGUCAUUGCUCGGCUGAAACUCAGCCAGCAGCCGCCCUCCUGCCAGGCCAGGGCACCGCAGGACGCCCGGGCCUCCGGAGUCCGGGUGUGGCGCUUUCAUUCUCUCCUUCCCACUCAGCAUCUAAACAGCCCGGUCUGCAGUUUCCCAGGGUCUUCCGGGGACGUGCCUGCCUCUCCAGGGCCUGCCCUACCCCUGCUGAAAGUUAAGCCCUUCGAUGCGAUCACGAAGAAAGAGGCGACCCUCCCUCUGGCCCGCGAGUGGCCUCCCAGGGGCCCCUCCGAGAAUGCCAUCUCCCGCGCAGACCCGGCGCUCUGCGCUGCUGCGAAAGCACCCACCUGCCUCUUCGGGACAGAACUGCGCCGUGGCGGCGGGGACAGCCUGAGGGCAGCCGCCCUUACCCAUGAGGGCCAAUGCGGGGCGCAGCCUCCAAACCCGGGGUCUCACCUCUCCCAGAGGAAGGGGUGGACACGCCAGAGCCUGUCCUCGACCCCUUAAGAAGAAGAGAGUGGCAGCAAGGAGUCCCUCUAGUAAUCUCGAAGGGGCUUACACUGGCUCCCCGCGCCUCCUCCCCAAUCGGUCAAGCUGGGAACCCCGGAGGCUGCGCCUAGCGUUUCGUUAGCGUCUCUCCGCCUUCCUGAGGCUUUAGGCUCCUGCGCGGCUUUAUAUUCCCUUUCUCCCCGCCCGACGUGCCUGCACCCCGGACCCUGCCCGGCACGGCACCGGGCUGGGGUCCGCGGGCUGGGGAAGAGAAGGGGGGCUUUGGGUAGCUCGACCUGGCCGCCACAUCCCCGCCUGCAGGGAAACCCUCUCAAAGUCCCGGCGCGAGGGAUUGGGGGCCGGGAGGAGACCCAGCGGGGCCAGGAGUCUCGGGGUCCCUGUGG